rfam:Triticum aestivum genome assembly, contig: Triticum_aestivum_CS42_TGACv1_scaffold_146590_2BS
AUUAUGCUCCCUCGGUCCCAAAAUUUUUGUCUCAGAUUUGUCUAGAUACGGAUGUAUCUAAUACUAAAACGUGACUUGAUACAUCCGUAUCUAGACAAAUCUAAGACAAGAAUUUAGGGACGGAGGGAGUAUUAG